GAGUAUAGUUGAUGAACAAUGUUAAUUCGUAUGAGGUGUAGAACAUCGUGAUUCCACAUCUCUAUACAUUAUGGGAUGCUCACCACAAGUCUUGUCGAUCUUUUUGAGACAUAUCCACUGAAAGCGAAUGUUCACUAAUAUAGUUAAAAGGAACCUCAUGUUUUAUUCCAUUUCUUGAUUUUAAAAUAAACCUCUUGAAAAGCUGGUUGUUCGGACCCCUGUCUCUGAUGAAACUGACAACAGAGCAAUGCAAGAGAUCGGUUUGGGAUAGCUGUCAAAAUCUUUGAUGCAAAUAUCCACAAUAUAGAAACCAAUGAGUCACCAUGAUGCCUGCUGAGCUUCUUUCUUUAAGUUAAAUUCAGAUAUGUUGCCAAAAAGCGCAGGUGCUCCAUCUAUGCAGAGUAACAAGAAUUUCUUUCCAGUUGACAUCUGGCUUGGCAUAGAUAUUUUACCAUCUGAAGAUAAUGAUGGCCUUAGUGGUUUGCAAAAGGGGCUCAUAGAAUAGGAAUUCCUUACUGAUAGCUGAUGCUUGAACAUUAGAGCUGGUUGUAUUGAAAGAACAGAAGCAGCAGCUUCACUUCGUUGUAUAUUGAAAGGAAAUUAGAGCUGCCAAUUCCUCCAUCAUUUGCUUCAAAAUAUUAAAAGAAUUAUCAGUGACUCUGAUAGAAAAAAUGUCCUGUUAUAGAGGCACCGAUUCAGAUUGCUUCCUCAUAAACCAACCUGACAUCUCCAGAACAUAGCUUCCCCACGUGCCUUCCAACGUGUAUGGGUUCUUUCUCUUAGCAAUGUGAUAAGCAAUUCUGGAUGCUCCAAGACAAGGUUUUUGGGUUGAGACCAAGUCAAGCUUUGUUACUGUUUUAGCCUUUUCAAAAUCACAAUAAAAGUUCUACAUGAUUGGUACACUUUUAGGAUGGAUAAAUAAAACAUGCUUCAACUUUCUUGGCAUUAUAUAAUUUAUUGGGAAAAAGUCCUGGCUAUGUGAGAGGCAUUGCAGCUUUUGUGUAGCAUCAAGCUUAGCAAUAAAAAUAGCAUUAAACAACAUGCAAGCUUCGUUACACUAAUUUUAUGUUUUCCAAUCAACACUGACCUAUAUAAAUAAAUACAGAUGUCCAUAAUCAUGAUGGCUGGUUCACUUUUGUUAGUUCCUAUCAAUGAAAUCUAUCCUAAACGUCAUACUAUGUGAAACUCACAAAUUUGUGUUAUCUUAUGACUUUCAAUUGUAUACUUGUUUUAAAUUAAUGAAAAUUUGAUAGUAAAAUGUGGCCUUAACAUUUAUCAUCAAGAUGGACAGAAUUAGGGAUCCCUGGGUGGCGCAGCGGUUUGGCGCCUGCCUUUGGCCCAGGGCGCGAUCCUGGAGACCCGGGAUUGAAUCCCACAUCAGGCUCCCGGUGCAUGGAGCCUGCUUCUCCCUCUGCCUGUGUCUCUGCCUCUCUCUCUCUCUCUCUCUCUGUGACUAUCAUAAAAAAAAAAAUUAAAAUAAAAAAAUAAAAAUAAAAAAAUAAAAAAAAAAGAUGGACAGAAUUAAAUCAACAAAAUAUUUUGCAACAAGUUCACAGAUGUAGGUACGUAAAUAACCCUUUUAAUUGAUUCUCAGGCCUGCCACUUAGUAUUGACAUAAACAUUGUCAAGCUGUUUAUCCUCUUUGUGUCUCAGUUUUCUAAUGUGUAGGAUGAAAAUUCUAAAACAAACCAGAUAAUUUAGUAUAUAAAUCAAUUUGCAAAAUCAAAUUUUAGCUCUGUUUCUGGGUCACAUUCUAUCUAUAUCAUAGUUUUGUACAAAUAAAAACAGAGAUUUUUAAAUGAAGUACAGUCUCUUUUUCUCCCAAAAUAUCCGUAUUUUGAUACUAGGUUAGCUAGUAUAGCAUAAAAGUACAAGAAUUUAGCUAAGGACCUGCACUUUAAUCUUACUACAAAUUAUAUAAACAUUAGUUUAGAAUAAGCUUACACUAAAAAAUACGUUGGAAAAUUUAAUAGAUAGUGAUCUCUCACUUUUUGGUAUGCUUUCCAGCUAUAUUAACAGGAAAUCGAAUCUCAAAAAAGGGAGAUGACAAUCACAUACCAUGCUAAUUUUAUCAGAUAAUAUUUCUUAGUUAUUAUCCUGGAAUAAGAUGUGAUAAAGUGUAUAAAAAUAUCCUCUGACCAAUAGUAAUAACAAAUACUGUAUACAAUGCAAAAUCAUGUCAUUGGACAAGUAAUUGGAAAAAUUGAGGAUUUUUACCAAUAUAAUCAUGAGAGCUUUCAAAUAACUGAAUAGUUUUUAUUUAGAAAAAAAAGAUUCAAAAUACUUUACAGUUCCCAAGGAAUAAAGACAGAGAAAAGUAAAAGUUACAAGAAGAUAAAUUUCCACUCAACCUAAAUAGCUAAAAUUAUCUAAAGAUGAAUUCUAUAUGCACCACUGGAGAUACUCUUCCCCACAUUUCUCCUAAACCGUGUAUUUUAUCUUUUUCAAUUAUGUAUCACAUUCUGAUUUGAUAGAUGUGUUUUAAUAAUCUCCUGCCCAUAUUAUUGCUUACAAAAAUUUUGAAGAGACAAGUUACAUCUUGCUAAAGGAUGGUCCUAAAAUUUACAUCAAUUUAUUAAUCAAUACUCUUUGGCAGUGGUUUUUCUAUCACUUACAAAUUCAAACAACUAACCUAUCACUGCACAC
rnacentral:lncRNA from 1 species